UUUUUUGAGGGCAGUACAAGUAGAGGAAAGUGGAGAAGCGGAUUGCAGUUUGAUUCUUAGGGGCCAAGAAUGCCACCGGGGGAUUUAGACUUCAACCUAAUCACACGUAUUUAUUUCUUCAAAUGCUAGCGAGCCUUUGAACGUUUUUGAGCACAUGCUUUGGAAAAAUUCCUCUGAAAAAGAGAGAAAGUGAGGGAGGGGAGGGCAGGGUCUGAGAGUUGAGGAGUCUGCAGCAGGAGGUUGGGAGACACAGUACGGAGCUAGGACAGCAGGUCUAGAAAUGAAACUAGGACACGUCCAGACCUCAGGUGGAAUUAACUAGAAUCUGGUUAGAGAGCCAGAAAGAACAAAGAGAAAAAAUACCUCCCAAGUUCCCACCUGGCUGCCCAGGAGGCUGUAAUGUGCUUAACAAAUAAAGCAUGCCCUUUAACAAACACAGGAGUGGGGAGGUGUCUGCAGGGAGGCCUACAGACAAAACGUGGAACGAGGCUGCCCUCUUCUGGAGAAUAAAAGCCGGAAGCUGAAUCAAAGUCCUCAUCUGCCCAGGACAAUAUAUUAUUACUAUUAUUAUUAUUAUUUUCAGAGACAGGGUCUUGCUGUGUUGCCCAGGCUGGCGUGCAAUGAUGAAAUCAUAGCUCACUGUAACAUCGAUCUCCUGGGCUCAAGCGAUCCUCCUGCCUCAGCCUCCUGAGUAGUUGGGACUACAUGUGUGUGCCACUGCACCCAGCUAUUUUGUUUGUUUGUAGAGAGGAGGUCUCACUAGGUCACCUAGGCUGGUCUCAAACUCCUGGCUUCAAGCGAUGCUCCCAACUUGGCCUUCCAAAGUGCUGGGAUUACAGGUGUAAGCCAUCACACCCGGCCAUCAGCACGUUUAACUAUAUAUCCUUUUAUAUAUUUAAAUGUAUAUCUUAUAUAUAUAUGUAUACCUCCAUACAGGACCGACUGAUGCUGAGCUGAUACUAACUAGUCAAGUAACAAACAACUGGUAACUAACAACUUGGUAACCAGUUUCUGAGACUUAGGGAUCUGGAAGUGACUUAGCGGGGGUUUCUGACUCGGGGUCUCCCAAGAUGUUGGCUGGGGCUGCAGUCAUCUGAAGGCUUGACUGGGCCUGGAAGAUCCACUCUUCAAAAGGGUCACUCACAUGGCUGUGGGCUGGAGGCCUACUCACAGCUGUCCCCAGAGCAGAUCAUCCAAGAGAAAGAGUAAGCCGGAAGACACCAUCACUUUUAUGUCCUACUCUGUGACAUCACACACAAUCACUUCUACAUUCUAUCACUACAAACGAGUCACUAAGACCAGCCCAAAUUGAGGUGGAGGGGAAUUAGGUACCAUCUUUUGAAAGGAAUGUUAAAUAAUCUGUGGACGUAUUUUAAAUCAUCACAGUCCACCACCUGGCCACAAAUUAUUUCUAUUUCUCCCACAUGUGAAAUACUCUCAUUCCU
rnacentral:lncRNA from 1 species